rnacentral:rRNA from 1 species
ACAUACGACCACAGGGUGUGGAGAACAGGGCUUCCUGUCCGCUCAGCCGUACUUAAGCCAUACACCGGGAGGUUAGUAGUUAGGUAGGUGACCACCAGCAAAUCCCUUCUAUUAUAUAUU